rnacentral:tRNA from 1 species
GGGGCUGUGGUUCAAUGGGAGAGCAUCCGUUUGGCAUGCACAGGGUCCCAAGUUCAAUCCUUGGCAUCUCCU